UAUACUGUCAGAAAAAAGAUCGCUAUAAAUUGCUAUAACAACCGAUUAUCGGCCGCUAUAAAGUUAUAGCGACCGAUGUAUAACUCGUCGUAAGUAGCGUUGUUAUAGGUCUAUAGCGUCCGAUCGAGUCUAUAGCGACCGAUUGAUGGACGCAGAAUCUAUACUCUAUGGGUGCCAUGGCUCACUUGGGCCAGUUUUUGGGUGUUUGGUUGGCUGUACUGGGCUGGGGCCUGGCUAACCAGAGCCAGCCGUACGCCUGAAGCCUGGCCAGGAUUAAAUGGCCAAAUCGGUCGUUCUAUCUUAGCCAGGCCAGGACCAGCUCUGCCACCGCUUUCUCGUCACCGCUUUCUCCGUGGCUCGGUCACCGCUCUCUCGUCACCGAAGCCGAAGGGGCGUCGUGCCGCACGCGCAUGGAGGAGGUGGCGCUGCCGCAGCCGCAAAGGUGGCGAAGGUGGCCGCAGAGGUGCCGGGCGGGCCCCAGGCAGAAGCGCUGCUAGCCCUUGCAGAUGAGGAAGAAGCGCGGCGGCGGCGGCGAGGAGCGCUCCGGGAAGCGGCUGCGGCGGCGAGGAGCGCUCCGGGAAGCGCGGCGGCGGCGAGGAGGAGGAUGCCUUCCUCCUCCUCUCUCUCUCCUCUCUCUCUCCUCGCGUCGUGUGCGGCCCGACGUCGGCUCGCGUGCUGCUCUUGCUCGCCCUGCUUUUCUUCCUCUGCCCGACGCCUUCCUCCGCGCCAGCUUCGACCAGGACGUGGGCAUCUGCAGCGCUCGCCGCCGAGCUCCGCGCCCACCUCGCUAGGGAGGCCAUCACCGCCGCUCCAACUCCAUCUCCGUCACGGUGGCAACCAGCCGCCAUCACCCGCCGCUCUGCUCUGGAUGAAGACGUUGAUGUCAGGUAGGUAGUAGACUCGAGAGCCCCAGCAGCCUCAACGAUGGCGCACCAUGUACAGUCGUUGUGGAGCACGUCAUCCAUAGUGUGGCAGAGAUCAGCCAAGGAAGGAGGAGGCGUUGUUUGGCGCCGCCGCCAAAGAGCCAGUACUCUUGUAGAGCAUGACGCACGACGAGGUCGUGGUUUGUGGAGAGAUGUUAGAAUAAACCACGUCAUGUUGGUGCAUGGCGUGCGUGCAUGAGGUUGAGUCGUCAAUAUUGGCACGUUAAAAUAGUGUAUAUCCAACCACUAUAUGAAGUGUAAUUCUUACAAGAGAUGACAUAUGGGAGAAUGUAGCUCAACAGGAAGAAAUGAUGACAUACAUAUGAUACAAAUUUUGUUGCAAA